CUCUCGGCAACGGAUAUCUCGGCUCACGCAUCGAUGAAGAACGUAGCAAAAUGCGAUACUUGGUGUGAAUUGCAGAAUCCCGUGAACCAUCGAGUUUUUGAACGCAAGUUGCGCCCGAAACCAUUUGGUUGAGGGCACGUCUGCCUGGGCGUCACACAUCGUGU
rnacentral:rRNA from 1 species